AUUUGCUGGGGACAAAUAAAAUGAAUAUGGGAGUCGAUUCCACCGGCAGUCAAAAUAUGCCCUUCACCUGCGAGCACCUCAGUUCCAGGACCGAUCACGAUAGUUACUCCGUCCUGAAUAUCUGGGUUGCCUGCUUUACCAAUCCCUGUAAUCCGUCCACCAGUGAUGCCCACGUCCGCUUUAACGACGCCCCAAUAGUCCAAAAUAAGUGCGUUCGUAAUUACCAAAUCCACGGUUUUGGAACUCGGCUCCUGACUCUGGCCCAUGCCAUCUCG
rnacentral:sRNA from 1 species